rnacentral:lncRNA from 1 species
GUUGCCAUCUCUAAAUUGAACCGUGUUUGUAUUUACACUGGUGAAAAUGAAUAUACUGUCAUUAAAAUAGAACUCUGGCAAGAUGAUGCCUUUCUGGUGUUCUUCCUACCAACAGAGUAACCUCCUGAUCUCUAGAAGGAAUCCUGAAGCAUGUGCCAGAGACGCAGUUCCUAAAGUCUUUUUUUCUCUAUGGUUAGAGUGACUGGCCAACAUCCCCACAAAUCUAUUAAAGCAG